rnacentral:rRNA from 1 species
AUCUAUGGCCAUGCUACCCUGAACAAGCCCGAUCCCUUCUGAUCUUGGAAGCUAAGCAGGGUUGGGCCUGGUUAGUACUUGGAUGGGAGACCACCUAGGAAGAUCAGGUGCUGUAGGCA